GGGCCAGUAGCUCAGGUGGUUAGAGCGCACGCCUGAUAAGCGUGAGGUCGGAGGUUCAACUCCUCCCUGGCCCACCA
rnacentral:tRNA from 1 species